CCUGUGCUUAAGGAAGAAAAAUCUAACAGUUUCGUAGGGACCUCGAAGGAUUCUUAUCGAUUAUGGGCAGGGUUGGAGCUGGCUUCAAGGAAGUGCCGGCCAGGCCUUGUAUCCAACACACAACUUGUGAACCCACCCUGGCCUUUGGCUUUGGAAUCGUUAAUAUUUAGCCGUAAUUGACAUAGAAUGUUUGAGAGAAUUGGAAAAAUGAUUAUACAAACUUUCAACAACGGAUCUCUUGGCUCUCGCAUCGAUGAAGAAACGCAGCGAAAUGCGAUAAGUAAUGUUGAAUUGCAGGAUUUUCAGUGAAUCAUCGAAUCUUUGAACGCACCUUGCGCCCCUUGGUAUUCCGAGGGGCAUGCCUGUUUUGAGUGUCAUUAAAUCCCUCAACCCCUCAGGGGGCUUGGACUUUUGGAGCGUGCUGGCGGUGAUCGUCGGCUCCUCUUUAAAUGCAUCAGCGGAACCCUCGUUCCCCGUUUCGGCGUGAUAGAUCUAUGUUGCGCCGCGUAGGGGGGUGGUCAAGUGGUUUUUCCGCUUCCAAUCGUCCUCGGACAAAAGAUCGUUGACGGCUUCACCACAAUGAGUUAGGGUUAUCUGCUAAGA
rnacentral:misc_RNA from 1 species